CUGUCUGAGAAGCAGCGCAGCCACAUCGUAGACUGUAGUGUGGAGAGGUUAUAUUGGUUCGAUUGAAGAUAGCGCGCUCGGAAAGCAGAUGGAGUUUUCACGGUGUCAACAAAAGAACAAAAAAUGACUGAAAAUAAAGUUAAAGAACACCCGUCGAAGCCCUCUGCGUGUCGCAUCAUUCCGAGCGGUCAGCUACAGUGAAAACUCCUCGGCGGCGACCAGCGCAUGUUUCCCGGCUGCAACGGAUUGCCAUUUCGGUGGAGGCCCGGACGCCCUCGUACCUUAAAUUCAUCGAUCGUCCAACAACAAGCCAACUAAACUAACUCCACUCCCAUCGGCAUCUUGCGCAGGGAAAAGCGCAUUCAAGGUAAUCUACGGACACAGACACAUGACACAGAGCGACAAGGAGCAAAGAGGAGGGACAUACGCACCCAAUCUGGCAGUGGAAUUGAAGAUCCAGCCAUGACAGCUCGCAUUAGAUGACGUCAAAGUAAUUUGUGGCGUAAAUCAAACAACUUUGGGGCGAUUGGUUCAAAUGUUUAUGGUAUAAUAUUACAUGACAUGUCUGUUUAUAAAAGGAAAAACGGUUGAAGCUCUAUAGCUAUUAAUGUCUAUUUAGGGAUUUCCAUUAAUGGCAUUUUUUGAUUGUCACUGUGUAUGCUGAAAUUCUAUUUGAAGGUCCAUAAGUUUUAAAUGCUUGACAAAGUGUUACUCUGUGGUGUAAAAUAACUGCAGCUUAUAAGUAUAGUUUCAAGCGUGGGACAGUAAAAGGUUUCAAGUAAAUAAGACAGUCAGAUAAAAAAAAAAAAAAAAAAAAUUAAAAUGUCACUUCAACCCGAGAAAACAGACAAUCCCAUAGACAUGCCACUCAGGUCUAGCUCACGUGAGAGAAAAUUAACAGAAAAGGGCCAAGAGAUGCAGAAGCAAAUGGCUAAAAAACAUGCUAAAAUAUUUCAUAAAGCUUAUAACUCUUGGAAAUUGACGGCGAGGGAUGUAAGGACACAAUUAAAGACCCUCUGCUCAGCAGAAGAACUCAACAAAUUAAAGCAAGAUGUUGAAAUGAAGCACAAUGCCGUAAGAGAGCAAUAUGAACCUAU